UACGUAGGGGGCAAGCGUUGUCCGGAAUCAUUGGGCGUAAAGAGCGUGUAGGCGGCCCGGUAAGUCCGCCGUGAAAGUCCAGGGCUCAACCCUGGAAUGCCGGUGGAAACUGCCGGGCUGGAGUCCGGAAGAGGCGAGUGGAAUUCCUGGUGUAGCGGUGAAAUGCGCAGAUAUCAGGAGGAACACCUAUGGCGAAGGCAGCUCGCUGGGACGGUACUGACGCUGAGACGCGAAAGCGUGGGGAGCGAACAGG
rnacentral:rRNA from 1 species